GGGGAUUUAGCUGAGUAGUUCCAGUGCCUGCCUUGCAAGCACAAGGACCUGAGUUCAAUCCCCAGUAACCCCC
rfam:Fukomys damarensis contig128241, whole genome shotgun sequence.